rnacentral:pre_miRNA from 1 species
UUUAUACUCCCUCCGUCCCAAAAUUCUUGUCUUAAAUUUGUCUAGAUACGGAUGUAUCUAACACUAAAAUGUAACUAGAUACAUCCGUAUUUAGAAAAAUUUAAGACAAGAAUUUUGGAACGGAGGGAGUAUGUA